UACGAAGGGUGCGAGCGUUGUUCGGAAUUAUUGGGCGUAAAGGGUUCGUAGGCGGGAAGACAAGUUAAGUGUGAAAGCUCCGGGCUCAACCUGGGAAUGGCACUAAACUGUUUUUCUUGAGUCUCAGAGAGGGUGGUGGAAUUGCUGGUGUAGGAGUGACAUCCGUAGAGAUCAGCAGGAACAUCGGAGGCGAAGGCGACCACCUGGCUGAAGACUGACGCUGAGGAACGAAAGCGUGGGGAGCAAACAGG
rnacentral:rRNA from 1 species